rnacentral:ncRNA from 2 species
AGUGAUGGUAGAGGUGCGAAAACCAAGAGUACACAGUCUGAGAGAAAUGAGAAUCGUUGACGACUGUUGGAAAGGGGGAUUCGCCGAAGUGCAGAUCGGGGCUCAUUCCCAUUUGCGCUGGACCUAUGUUGAAUAAGCAUAGGGCUGUCACAACACUAGCCCCAACUAGUGCUGUGGAGAACUAUCUCACGU